GUGGUGUGUUUGUAAUCCCUUUG
rnacentral:siRNA from 1 species